rnacentral:lncRNA from 1 species
AGGGAAGGUGUCAUUUUUUAAACACAUGGCACAUAACACUUUAUGAAGUGGAGUUAAAUUAUUGGUUUAGAAUUAAAAUAAAAAAACACGUUGUUUAAGUAAGGGUUUUCCAGAGCAGAGUAGCAAAUCUCGGAAGACUCUGAUUGAGAAUAACAAGAUCGUAGUUCAGAGAAAGAGAACACGCGGCGUUGGGGUUCUCCGACGAAAGAAGAAAACUCGAACAAUGACACAUCAAAUCCAUAUUUUUUUCACAAGAUGCUUCUUUUGGGAGGCGAGAUGUCUGUUUUGCUCCCAAACUUUUCCUGACGCUAUACACCCCACUUCAGUAUUCCGUUUUUUGUUUCAAUAAUGAUGGUGAUAAUAUUAUAUUGAUGCACUUGCUUCUUCUCCUUUAUUCAAUCAUUCGCUACUUUCUAUUCCCAUUGAAUGUGCUUGGAUCUGAUAAAAUAAAAUCCCAACUGUAACCAAACUCUAAUAAACCUCAUCUGUCAUAUACGUGCGAUGAAAUUACAGUUACAACCCCAACAAUUGGAUUCGAUUCAAUUCAAUUUUUGUGUGCAGUGGAACAAACGUGGUCGAUUACCAUACGCGAAACCACCCUUUGAAGAAGAAUCACUACCACCCUCGCAAUUUCCCCAAUUCAGAUCAUUUUUUCCAAUUUCCCCAAUUUCUUUGUCGCGCAUACACUUGCAGAGGAAAACUCAGAAACAGAAAAGUCCCAAUCGAAGAGCGCCGCUGUUCGAAGGCCAUUGCGCGAGUCAUCAUCUUCACAUCUCGCCCCAUGAACAACCUCCAUGCGCAUCCACCAGAAUCGCGAUCUGCCACCAAGCAUGAUUCGAUUUGUCUUCGCAACCUGCAGAGAACACAAAAACCCAAAUCCAAAACCCUAAUCGCGCCGUUGAUCAUCAAUCAUAUUCGAACGACAUAUGCGCGAGUUCAUUCUUCGUCUCCGUAAGCGUUCUCCAUUCUCCUUCAUCAUCGUUUUCCCGUCUGCACCUGAAAAAUCAAAGAAAACCAGAAGCACAGAGCAAUCGCAAAAGGCAAAGCAACCCAUCCAAAAAUGUCAAGUCUUGCGCCUCCAUGAUUCGCAGCACUGCGGAGGAGAAGAGGCGAAACCGCAAAGCUUGAAACGGCGCAGGCAGAGGUGCAGAGAUCAAGUUUUCCCCAAUCAGAAAACUUUCAUUUGUGUGGAAAGGGGCUGACACACUUAAAGACAUUAUGUGCCACCUGUCAAAAAAAUGACAGCUAUUCUUGCCAGCAAAGACGAUUUUUAACGUCGUCCAGGAAAGUUAACGGAAUGUCCUUGAUUGGUUUAAUUUUUCAAAUUCA